GAAGGCUGUGCGGUUUUCCACUCUUCACUCAUUUUUCUUUCUCUGCUUAACUAAGGAACAUACCUAUUGCUUCAGUUCUGACAUCUUCAACCACGCACCUGCUCAGCUGCUGCUGUGUCUCUCAACUCAACUCAACUUGGUCCAGCAGGAGAGGUCAGACUCACCUGCUCCCAGCUGUGUGUCCAUGAAAUUUGGCUAGUGGAUGGUCCCCCACCGAAAUUCUGUAAUGAGGGCAUUACUGCUGAUAAAAGGUCUCCAACGAACACUGAAGGAGGUGCAUCAGCAGGUGCGACAGAACCAGUGAACCCCUAACCGGGAAGACACGCUAGAGCUGCUCCCAGGCGACUGGGUUCUCAUCCGUGACCUGUGAAAGAAACAUUGGAAGCAGCCCCGGUGGAGAGGCCCUCAUCAAGUUCUUCUGUCCACACCCCACGCUGUGAAAAUAGAAGGCAUUGACUUGUGGACUCACAUCACCUACUGCUGUAAAAUAGCUGAUCCCACGCAGGCACAACAGCAACAUGAGUGAUUCAAGGACACCCUAGCACCCUUUCUGAAGGGCAGGACUGUGUGGAAUGAGAGGAACUUUCAAAAAAGAAACACAAUUAGCAUUAGUGAUUGUGUUGCUUAUUGUAUUACUGUUUGAGAAGUCUACUGAGAAAGAGAGAGGUAACCUAAUUGAAACCUCUGUUACAGGCCGUAAGAGAUCUGUGGAAAAUCUGCAUGAGAAAGGCCUACAUGGUAUUAACAUUUUUAGAACUGAGCUGUAAAUGAGUCUAGGUGUUGGGUGUGUUCCCACAUUCCACACUCUGUUUCAACCGGACUCCCACUAAACCCUGUUCCUUGGGCCCUACCUGAGGUAUUCUUGUGGUGGGAUACUUACUUCACUAAGCUCCUGUCCGGAACCUCUACUAGGCCAUCAUGGGAAACAGUGGGAUACAACUUCUCGGGUCAUAAAUUCGAUGAACUGUCAUUCCUCUGAAAUUUCACCAAAUGAAAUAACACCCACGAAAAGGUCCCAACCACCAUGGCAUCCUGAUAGCUCUGCUCAGAGGGUCAAAAGGACCAUCACGUGUGACAUAGCUGGUAUUGGUAUCACUGCCCAGCGCUUGCUAUUGGCCUGUCCUCCACGAGUUCGCCUUGUGGUAACAGUCCAUGGGCCAAACACGUCAAUACCCACAUAGGUGAAUGGUGGCUCUGUGCUCAGGCGAUCAGGCGGUAAGUCUGCCAUCUUCUGUGCAGUCAUUCUUCCACGAAGCUUGCUACACAUGAUACAUUUAUGUACGAUAUUGUUGAUGCACUUCCUGGCUCCGAUAAUCCAAAAUCCUGCUGCGCGCACAGACCCUUCUGUGAAGACACGACCUUGGUGCUUAACCUUCUCAUGGUAAUGCCUCGCAAGCAGUCUGUCAAUGUGACUGUGGCCAGGAAUGAUGAGAGGGAAUUUCUCUCUUCUGUCAAGUGCUGAUUGACUGAGCCUACCCCCAAGUCUUAGAAGACCUUCUUCAUCCACACAAGGGUUCAACUUCCUCAGUGGGCUGUCUUUUGGGAUGUUCUUUCCCUCAACCAGGCAGGUGAACUCGUUAUUAUACGUCUCUCUUUGCACACACCCGAUGAUCAGAGUUUCUGCCUUUGCCAGCUUUUCGGCUGUGGGAGGUCUUUUACACUGAUGCCAACCAUUGCAUGUCUCAUGCUUAGCUUCUCCCGCAUUUCUUUUGGACUGAAUGAUAUGUGACAAGAAAGCUAUAGCUCUUACCAGAGACUUCCAGGAAGAAAACCGCUCAAAGCGAUGGGAUCCUAGAUCAGGUGGAGAAACAGUUGUGACAUGAGAACGAACCUCAAUGUCAGAAUCUGGGUUAACUAGUUCAUACGACUCCUCCUUUAAGGUGGAUACUCCUGCAGGAAGAGAAAGGAAUGGGGGUCCUGUGAGCCAUGUUGAGGUAGCUAUCUCAGCUGUGGACACAGAUCAAGUUGCCUGGUCUGCUGGAUUCUGAGUGCUACAGACGUAGUGCCACUGAUCGGGCUUGGUGAACCUCAGGAUGCGCUGUACUCUGUUGCAAACAUACACGUAGAACCGUCUGGUCCUGUUAUAUAUGUAUCCCAAAACAACCUUGCUGUCUGUGUAGAACUGCAAGGUAUCGAGGCUAAUGUCCAACUCACUCUGAAUCAGCUCUGCCAUUUCCACUGCCAACACAGCAGCUCCAAGCUCCAGUCGUGGGAUGGUGUGCACGGACAGAGGUGCAAGUUUCGUUUUCCCCAAAACAAAUCCCACGUGGCACUUUCCGUCACCGCCAAUCACCUUGAGGUAAGCCACAGCGGCAAUGGCCUUCAGAGAGGCAUCUGAGAAAACAUGCAGCUAUUUUCUUUGAGCAGUGGCAAACGUUGCAUUGGUGUAGCGUCUUGGUAUCUUGAACUUAGAUCUUGCAAGGAGUCUGUCCAUAUUCUCCAUUCUGCUUCUUUGUCCUCUGGCAGAGGGCUAUCCCAGUCAAGAGCUUCGCUGUUGGUGAGCUCUCGCAGCAGGAACUUCCCUCGGAUGACGACUGGUGCGACAAAUCCGAGAGGGUCAAACAGGCUGUGGCUAAGACACCCCUACGGGUGAAAGGUUUCUCUGCUGGCACCACUCUGAAGGUGAAAACAUCCUGUUUGAGAUCCCAGCUUAACCCUAAGCUGCGUUGGAUG